CUGCUCACUUCAGAAGCACAUAUACUAAAAUUGGAAUGAUACAGAGAAGAUCAGCAU
rnacentral:snRNA from 1 species